UAACCAGGAUUCUCCUAGUAACGGCGAGUGAACGGAGAUUAGCCCAUCACCGAAGUCUAUUCACGUUUGUGAACAAGACAAUGUGGUGUUCGGGCGUGCACCUGGGAGCGCUUGCCUACUCGAAGUCCAACACCGAUUAUGGCUUGGACCAUGCCCACAGCGGGUGAAAGGCCCGUACGGGUAGGCAUUGUUGUAUUUGAAGCGCUCCUCAGAUGUGCAUGCUCUCGAGUCGGAUUGCUUGAGAAUGCAGUCCAAAGUGGGUGGUAAACUCCAUCCAAGGCUAAAUACUGGCACGAGUCCGAUAGUAGACAAGUACCGUGAGGGAAAGUUGAAAAGUACUCUGAAGAGAGAGUAAACAGUACGUGAAGCCGCUUGCAGGGAAGCUGGUGGAGUCAAGCUUCAUGCCUGUGGAUUUGUUAUGAGGAAGCUUUGUUGGUUACAGGGACGUGAUACUGGUUAGCCUGGAAAUGGUUUGCCGCAUUUCACCGUGCGGUUCAAGUCAUACUGGGUCGUGUGUUUGAACUGGUAUCAUUCGUUUUCCUCUUCCUCAUACUGAAUUUCACACUCAUGGCAUACAUCACGAUCGAUACGACUUGUAAUGUGUGAUUGUUUAACUGCACUUUGGCGGGCAUUCGUGUCUGCCGGGUGUGGAACGGCAGGUGGCAAGUGUGGGCCUCGUUGCUCAUGUCUUGCUUAUUGUGGAUUUUGAUCUGCCAGCAAUCAUGUUGUUGUUCUUGUAACAUUAUCAGUCUUAUCGUGCUUUUGUGAGGUGCGCUCUUCGGAGCGUGACUCGGUGAGAAUCGUGAUUGC
rnacentral:rRNA from 1 species